rnacentral:rRNA from 1 species
GACGUAGGGGGCGAGCGUUGUCCGGAUUCAUUGGGCGUAAAGCGCGCGUAGGCGGCUGCGCAAGUCGGUUGUGAAAUUCCGGGGCUCAACCCCGGAACUGCGUCCGAUACUGCGUGGCUAGAGGUAGGUAGGGGAGAUCGGAAUUCCUGGUGUAGCGGUGAAAUGCGCAGAUAUCAAGAGGAACACCGGAGGUGAAGACGGGUUGCUGGGCUGACACUGACGCUGAGGCGCGAAAGCUAGGGUAGCAAACGGG